GUGGGGAAUCUUGCGCAAUGGGCGAAAGCCUGACGCAGCCAUGCCGCGUGAAUGAUGAAGGUCUUAGGAUUGUAAAAUUCUUUCACCGGGGACGAUAAUGACGGUACCCGGAGAAGAAGCUCCGGCUAACUUCGUGCCAGCAGCCGCGGUAAUACGAAGGGGGCUAGCGUUGCUCGGAAUUACUGGGCGUAAAGGGCGCGUAGGCGGACAGCUUAGUCAGAGGUGAAAGCCCAGGGCUCAACCUUGGAAUUGCCUUUGAUACUGGCUGUCUUGAGUUUGGGAGAGGUGAGUGGAACUCCGAGUGUAGAGGUGAAAUUCGUAGAUAUUCGGAGGAACACCAGUGGCGAAGGCGACUCACUGGCCCAAUACUGACGCUGAGGCGCGAAAGCGUGGGGAGCAAACAGGAUUAGAUACCCUGGUAGUCC
rnacentral:rRNA from 1 species